CAGCGCGUCGAACAGGGCGUGUUCGGCGGCCUGGGCCUGCCGGAUGUAGUAACCGAUGUCGAUGCUGGCGUUCUUCGCGACGCGCGGG
rnacentral:tRNA from 3 species